rnacentral:rRNA from 1 species
UGGGGAAUAUUGGACAAUGGGGGCAACCCUGAUCCAGCUAUGCCGCGUGGGUGAAGAAGGCCUUAGGGUUGUAAAACCCUUUCAGCGGGGAAGAUGAUGACGGUACCCGCAGAAGAAGCCCCGGCUAACUCCGUGCCAGCAGCCGCGGUAAUACGGAGGGGGCUAGCGUUGUUCGGAAUUACUGGGCGUAAAGGGCGUGUAGGCGGCUUGUCCAGUCAGACGUGAAAGCCCCGGGCUUAACCUGGGAACUGCGUUUGAUACUGGCAGGCUAGAGGUUGGAAGAGGGAAGUGGAAUUUCCGGUGUAGCGGUGAAAUGCGUAGAUAUCGGAAGGAACACCAGUGGCGAAGGCGACUUCCUGGGCCAAUACUGACGCUGAGGUGCGAAAGCGUGGGGAGCAAACAGGAUUAGAUACCCGCGUAGUCC